UAUUACUUGUAUAACGACCGUGGCUUCUGAAGCCAGGCGUCAAUCUCUCAAUUAACCAGAAUAAAAAAAAAGAAAAUGGGGGAGUAACGUAAACACGUUACAUUCUCCCCACAUCUUCUCCCUCUGUUAUCUCUCUUUCAUUUUCUUUUGAAACUCUAAAUCCCACCUUCCCCUUCUUCUUCUCAUAGAUAGCCAACUUACUCCUUCUGCUCCGGAUAAUAUCUGGCCAUUCACGCUCUGUUUAUCGCUCUCCCUAUCUCCCAAAUCCUCAUUUUCUUAAGGCAUAUCUCUCGCUCCCGAACGCCGUAUCUUCAACAUCGUUUUUGUCAACCUCCGUGUGAAAACCCUAACCCACCGAGCUAAGCGGAGAGAUGCCGGCAAUGCUGAGAGACUGGGAUCUCUGUUGCGGGCUUCAGACUCUCACGAAGAGCGUUAGCCCGGCGGCUUGCUUCAAGGCAACUGACGAAUCGCAUCGCACUUCCUCAGCAACGGCGGUUGCAGCUACAAAGGUCCAAUCAUCAUCUUUUCAGGCGUCUUCGUUGUCGAUUGCUGCCUGUGCGAUUAGGGUUCAUGGAAAAGGAUCCUGGGAACAAAUUUUUUUUGGUCUGAUUUGUCAGAUUCAUUUAAAGAUCGGUGGUAGUUCUCAAGAGGAAAUCAGCCUAGGGUUCAUGUCACUUUUCCUCUCUCUUAUCUUGGGAAACAACAAGUUAGGUGGGAAUUUUUACGGCGGCCCUGUCCUUUCUCUGUCCCCUUCCAUCAUGUGGUGUGUUUCACUGUUCAGUCCGAAUUUUCUGUGAUGUAGAUGAAACAAAUGAACUAUGCUUAGUGUCAACUGAUUCAGUAAAGCUUCUCUCUAAUCUCACCCGUUGGAAGGAAUGUUGGAAGAUAACACUCAGAAUCAUCAGAAUAUGGAGUUUAAUUGAUUAUACGGAUCUGAAUGAAGAACAUGCUUUUCUUCAGCUUCUGAUAAUGGAUAAAGAAAUUUUAUUCCAGGCUGAAAAUGCUAGAAUAAUUGCAAUAACUAAUGGGAUUCUUAUUUUUACCCGUUCUUCAACUGUGCAGCAACUUUUGGGUUCAGAGAAGAUGGUUGGCAAAGUUAAGCGUGAUGGAUGAAGAUUUGUUUUUGAUGGUCCGCUCUGGUGUUUGCAGUGACGGUGGUGGCACUACUAGGAAUAUGUUCUUGGCUUUACACAAGGUUGUGCUCAGGAUUAGAAAAAGGAAAAGCCUCCUUGAAGAGGUUGACAAGAUCCUUGAAGCUCAAAUUUGAUGAUGCUAAUGCUUUUGAGGAUGAAUCUGCAUCUGGUGAGGGGGUUCAAGUGACAUGGUUUUGCAUGUCAUUUAACUAGAGCUACUGAUUAGGAUUUAUAGGGCAUUAGAUAUAGGUGAUGCAAAUGUGUCCACUCUUCUUUGGUAUGUAAUGUGAAUGUUUUUUAGUUGUCUCAAAUUUAAUUAUGUAGUUCUUUAUCUUUGCAGUGCAGCUCUAUAUAGGCCAAUAAAAUGCAGUAGCUCUUUAGUGAUAUAUAUUAGAUUUUGUUUUGGCAAAUGAUUUAUAUUUGAAGAGUUAUAUAUAUACUGUGUUGCGAAUUUUAUUCAAGAAAAAA